GCCCCGGUAGCUCAGUGGAUAGAGCGACCGCCUCCUAAGCGGUAGGUCGCAGGUUCAACUCCUGCCCGGGGCACCA
rnacentral:tRNA from 3 species